rnacentral:rRNA from 1 species
GUGAGUAACACGUGAGUAACCUGCCAUUGACUUUGGGAUAACUUCAGGAAACUGGGGCUAAUACCGGAUAGGAGCUCCUGCUGCAUGGUGGGGGUUGGAAAGUUUCGGCGGUUGGGGAUGGACUCGCGGCUUAUCAGCUUGUUGGUGGGGUAGUGGCUUACCAAGGCUUUGACGGGUAGCCGGCCUGAGAGGGUGACCGGCCACAUUGGGACUGAGAUACGGCCCAG